CAUGCCGCGCCGGAGCUUGGCUUGGCUUGAGUUGACUUGGCUUGGCUUGGCUUUGCAGGUUGCCGGCGAGGUUUGCGCGGCUUUCCGGAUCGGGAUCCUGAGCGGGGCGGCGCAGCGGCUCGGGCUAAGCUCGGGCUAAGCCGGGCUUCUUCUCCAUCCCCCUCCCCCUUGGUGGGCUUCUGGCAUGGGAAGCAGCCGCAGCAGCAACAGCAGCAGCCGCCGGGAUCGUCGCAAGGGCUCGCCGGCGUGGUGACUUCUUGCGCGGAUCGGGGAAAAAUAAAAUAAAAUAAAAUAAAGGCUUGCGCGCGUUUGGGGAGCGAGCGCUGCUCUUCUUCAGCCCGGGAUCUGCCUUGCCCGGUUUCUGGCUUCCCCAACACCGCAGCCGCAGCCACGUUCACUUCGCAGCGGUCCGGCGCUUCCUGCGGAGCCAGGAGCCAAAUUGGUCGGAUCAUGGAGCUGUUGUCCACCCCGCACAGCAUCGAGAUCAACAAUAUCACCUGUGACUCCUUCCGAAUUUCGUGGUCCAUGGAUGUUGGAGACCUGGAUAGGGUUACCCACUACUUCAUCGAUUUGAACAAGAAGGAAAAUAAAAGCUCCAACAAGUUCAAACACCGGGAUGUCCCUACCAAGCUAGUAGCUAAGGCAGUGGCCCUGCCAAUGACGGUGAGGGGCCACUGGUUUCUGAGUCCCAGGACAGAGUAUAGUGUGGCUGUGCAGACUGCAGUGAAGCAAACAGAUGGAGAGUAUCUUGUCUCCGGAUGGAGUGAAACCGUCGAAUUCUGCACAGGAGACUAUGCUAAAGAACAUCUGGCCCAGCUGCAAGAGAAAGCUGAGCUCAUUUCGGGGAGGAUGCUGAGGUUCACUGUUUUCUAUCGGAAUCACACUAAAGAGUAUUUCCAGUAUGUCAGAAUGCACUGUGGAGACGUCAUGAAGCCGUACUUGAAGGACAACAGCGGCAGCCAUGGUUCACCCACCAGCGGUAUGCUCCACGGCAUCUUUUUCAGCUGUAAUACCGAGUUCAACAAUGGGCAGCCUCCCCAGGACUCCCCUUAUGGCCGCUAUCGUUUCCAGGUGCCGGCGCAGCGCCUGUUCGGUCCCAACACCAACCUCUACUUCGCGGAUUUCUACUGUAUGUACACUGCCUACCAUUACGUCAUUCUGGUGCUGGCACCGAAAGGCUCUGCUGGAGACCACUUUUGUCGGGAGCGACUGCCCCAGUUGGACAUUUCCUGCAACAAGUUCCUGACCUGCAGCGUGGAAGACGGCGAGCUCAUCUACCGCCACGCCCAGGAUGUCAUUCUGGAGAUCAUUUAUACGGAGCCGGUUGACCUCAGUCUAGGAGUCCUGGGGGAGAUCAGUGGCCACCAGCUCAUGAGCCUUUCGACGGCCGACGCCAAAAAGGAUCCGAGCUGCAAGACCUGUAACAUCAGCGUGGGGCGCUAGAGAGAGGGAAGGGUGGGAAGGGAGAGGGGACAAACACCAAUAUGAGAGAUCUUGGUGAGCCCCAUGGCCCUUCAACGUACGUGUGAGACUAUCUGAGAAUGGGGUCCACCUUGGGUGAAGGGGAUGCUGGAGAAGUCCCCCUUUUUUGCUGUCCCUUGCCUCCCUUCUCUCCCCACCCCCUCUCUUCCUGCAUGUUUCCUUGCCACUGUAAAUAAGAUUUCGGACUUGGGAAGUGAGAAGGAGAGAGAGGGCAUACAAGCAGGUCAACGUUGAAGGACCUGCAUUUCCAGGUUUACUAAGGACAGCCCUCAGUUUUUUUGAGGUCCCGUUCUCUCCCGUUCUCUAUCCCAUUCUCUUCCGUUUCCCAACCCAAGCUCAAAUGGACAUUUCACUUUGCCCACACAGCAGGGAGUCUGGCCAGUCUGACGAACACGCAGUUUCCUAAGCAAAAUAUACUAACUAGUAGUGCGUCUCCUUCUUGCAACUUGCUCCUUUUGGCCCGUUUCUCCAUACCAGGUACAUAGUAUUUCCCCACCACCACCACGGGUUCUCUUCAUCCGUAGCACCAUUUACGUUUUUUUUAUAAGAAGUAAGUUGAAGGUUGGAAGAAAACGUCUCCCCACCACUUUCAGGAAGGGUCCUCCAGGGUUAAAAACUCAGCUGGCACAAAGACCAGCUCGACUAACAGUGGGUAAAAUAAGCUUAAAGAUGGGAUGGGCAUAUAGGCGAGAGAAGGAAAACGAAGAAGGGAUUCUUACGUAGAGAUUCUUUCUAUCUUUUUUGCUCAUUUCCCUGGGGUGUGACACCUUAUUAUUUAUGUCCUUUAUUUAUUUUGACUGGGGAAAAAAAAGGAGGAGGAGGAGGAGGGGAGAGGGAACAACAGGUUCGAACAGGUGUGCUAGAAACUGGAAUGCCGAUGGGCGAUGUUGCUAUGCAAACAUACCCAGCUUGGCUUCCCUGUUUUCCCACGAAUAACCGGUUACAGAUCCGGACUGGCAAAACUCAUACCCACAUCUCAUUCUGAGUUGGGGGUGUUCUGAAGACGGGGAAGCUCCAUGGUGCCGGCAGGAGAGUAAGGGAGAAAGACAAAUCACUCGUGGUUGGAUGCUUCCCCCCCCCGCGCAUUCCUGCUGUGGCUGCGAUUUGUUUUUCUUUCCCACAAUGCAGAACAACUCAUAAGCUGAUAGUUCCAGCUUUCGUACCUUAAGUUCGCAGCGCUCAUUAACCUGGAAUGCGAUUUGUGACUUCGUGGGUUUGUGUGAACCUAGCUGUCGCGGUUUGCAACCCGUGGUUGAUGUACCUAGGAAUGAUGACUCAUCCCUGAUAAUGGCUUAGGGAAGAACAACCGGCUUAUAGCAUCAUACCUGAAAUAAGCCACAAGCGUAAUACAGGGAGUCCCUGACGUACGACUAUUUGUUCAGCAACUCGGGGUCUCCCCUCCUCCCUGAGGCACCCCUGCUCUUUAUAAUGACUGCAAUGGGGAGAGCCAGGAUUUCAUGGGUGCCUUGCUUAAAAAAAACAGCAACAACUUAAUGACCACAAUUCUGGGCUCACACGUAGUCAUAAGUCGAGGAUGACCUGUCUCUCUGCCUUACAUAGCCUUGUCUCCUUCCCUUCAGUUUCCUUCUUUUUCUGAAAGUUUCUCCCUUCUUUGCUACUAACUUCAGAUUUUGAUCUUAGCAGCCAGGAGGUGCUGUAAACAUCUGGCGUCCCAAGGACAAUGGCAGCUGCACAAUUUAAACCUCCUUGUUUAAAAACCUAAUGUGCCAUUCAGUGAGCUGAGCUUACGGCUUCAAGCUUGUAACCCUGGCAAGCAGGUUGGAGACCCCUGCUCCAGAAGAAAAGUGAGAACUUCUCUUGGCCUGUUAAGGAGAAAGAUUCAUUUGCAGCCACUCCCCACAUCUCUGUGAAGUCUCGACGUGCCCAUGCCUUCAGUCCAUCGCCGGGAACCGGCUUCCUGGGACAGGUUAGACCUGCUCUUGACAGCUGCUCCUCACAUCUGCCAGCCACCCUUUUUACGCUGAAGGCUUGGCCUCCAUCAGAAGGAUUUUUUGUUCCGAUGGGGUUUCUUGGGUUGUGUGAGCGAUUGCUUCCUUUACCAGGGCAAAGCUGCCGAUAGCAUCCUUUCUUUCCGCAGGGGACUUUGAGAAGGCUUCUCUAACUUCUAACAAGAAAUCCUGGGCCUUCCUUCUUUAUUACCCCACUGGCCGGUUAAGAUGUGGGCUUGAGAUCUUAAAGAGAAUUCAUUUCGUAGCAGCAAGUUAGAAGCCCAAGGCCUAGAAGAAAGCCAGCUCCACAUUUAAAAGGCCUUUCCCAUUCCAGAGGUGACUUGAAGGGAAAGCACACACACACAGAGCCAACUUUCAUGUGAUGACCCAGGGCGGGACACAAAGGCAACACAACCAGAGAACUGAUAUGAGUCCCUUUAUUAUCACCAACUGUUUCCCCAAUGUCCCUUUCAAUUCUCCAGCCUGGAGAGAGAACUCUUCCACCAACCUGUACUAGUCUUUGGCUGGCAAUACUUCAGUCCCAAACGUUGUAAGCAGAAAACUUCUAACAAAAAAUCCAACAAGACAAGACUAGGUAAUUAACCCGGCAGGGCAAGCAAAAUAAGGAAUUCCACAAGUAAAGUAGCAUGGCAGUAAAUGAAGCCAGUUGGGAGAAUGCCAGGAUUCAAAGAAGCACCAGAUAAGCUCAGUGUUUGUUCCCGACAACUGCCCCUCCCAUUUGCCUCUCCUUUAAACUCCAGCAGCAGCUGUGCCUUGUAAAGAGGAUCAGUUUCCUUUCCUCCCUCGUAAGCCACGCAACCCAUGUUGCUCUCUUCUCCGUUACUCCCUGCACUGCCUGCGAUGAGGAGGGGGUGGGCCUUGGUCUUCAUCUGAACCCCCUCUCCCUUGUUCCGCCUCUCCCCUGCUCUAUCCAGCCUGACUUUGCCCUUCCCCAGUUUCUUCCACAGCCAACAGAUCCACUCUCUCACUCUCUGUCAGCUGUUCCUCUUCCCCUUCAAAUUCAGAUUCCAACAGGGGCAUGACAUUUCAUAAGAUAUUCUUGUUACCUCGAGAAGGUCAUCUACCGAGAACCCAAAGAGAAAUAAAAAGGGUCACAAGAGGCAGAGGAGUCAGGUUUUUAUUUUUAUUUUGGCUAGGUCUUUGGAGCCUCCAACAAAGCCGGCUUCCAAAUCUAUCAAGGCAAAUACAGCCCAAGAUUGUGCAAACCAGUUGUUGUGUCUGCGCCCCCCGAGCCGGGCCCCCUGCCAGAAAGUGACUUGGAAAGUGAGGGGGAAGGGCCAUCAGGACUUACCUCGGGAGCACUGGCUUUCCUGGCUCAGCUCUAGGAGCCAGAGACAGGCCAGGUGGAGGAGAUAACGAGGCCUCCAUCCCCUGACUCUUUCCCCCCCAGGCCACGCCUCCAGACCCAGCUGAUGGCAAUCAGGCCUGGCUGGACCCUAGGUUUCGUAGGGAGGAGAGGCGGGAACAACAGAAGCAGGGGUGGGGCAGGCCUAGGAAGUGCUGAGUCAUGGAGCCACCCCCCAUGGGAUAUAAAAGCAGCAAGGGCUGCUAUGCCUCUUUGUAGCAGGCAAACCAACUGCUUGACUAGAGCUGAAGUACUGUUGAUUCAUCGGCAUCAAGGGAGAUAACAGAGACACUUGGCAGAUGCUCGCUAGUUUGCUGCCAGAGCUGAUAGUGCCAGCUAAUUAAGCCAUCGCUUGGACUGAGGCGAAGGGGACAGAGCACCAGCGUUCCAAAGUGCAAAACCCCACCCAUUCCUAUUCUGUUCUGGCAGUCUAGCAAGCAGCUCAACUAGGGGGGAGGGCUUUAUCAAGCCUCGGGUGAGCUGACCUACGUGACUGGUGGGCAACAUUCAACUCUGUGAGAUCAACAUUCCUAGAUGUCUGCCUGCAACGUGUUCUUCACAAUUCUGGUUUUGGUUUUGGUUUCCAGACUGUAUCCCUCAUUAAGCUUGGGAGGUGUUGACUGUCAACUGACCAAUUAUGGUGGAAAGGUUUUCACUGAUAGCUUGCCUGCAAUUAGUGGUCGCAUUUCCCUGCAGUUCGGCUGUCUGCAGGAGAAACCUGGUUGCAUUCCUGUGGCGCAGAGAUGAUGAGCAGGAGGACUGUAGAUUAGAUUAACAAGAGUUGGAAGGGAUCUUGUAGGUCAUCUAGUCCAGCCCCCUUCCCAAGCAGGAGACCCUACACCAUUUCUGAUAAAUGGCAGUCCAAUCCCUUCUUGAAAGCUUCCAGGGAUGAAGCUCCCACAACUUCCGAAGGCAACUUCUGUUCCAUUGUUUGAUUUUUCUCACUGUCAGAAAAUUCCUCCUUAUUUCCAAGUUGAAUCUCCCCUUGAUCAGUUUCCAUCCAUUAUACCUUGUCUGGCCUUCAGGUGCUUUGGAGAAUAGCUUGACACCCCCCUCCUCUCUGUGGCAGCCCCUCAAAUAUUGGAAGACUGCUAUCAUGUCUCCCCUGGUCCUUCUCUUCUCUUCACUAGACCAUCCACGCCCGGUUCCUGCAAUCAUUCUUCAUAUGUUUUAGCCUCUAGUCUCUUAAUCAUCUUGGUUGCUCUUCUCUGCACUUUUUCUAGAGUCUCAACGUCUUUUCUUAUAGUGUAGUGACCAAAACCGGAUGCUCCAAAGUUUCUGAAAUUUAAGUGGUUCCAAAGCAAAAUGUGCAGUUGUGGUUGUGUGGGCAAAUCAAACGCAGAAAGGGAUUCUGAUGGAAGAAGGCUGAACCUGUCACAGAAGGAAUUCCAACGGCAAGCUCCAUAACGUAGAUUGAUGGUUGUUUGAUGAGGCUGGCUCCCUUCAACCCCGUGUUAAAUUACUGGCGUAUUCCCAGAAUCCCAGCCUCCCAAAUUUGAAGUAUAUAAGAACCAAUAAAGUCGGGUCUUCAGGUGGAGAAGUACCUCCAUGGAGAUGAUGGGGGAAACUUCAGGACCCUAGGUGGUUUUUACUAUUAUUAUUAUUAAUUAUUAUUCUUGGCACAACCUUUUGAACUUUCCAAGUGCCCAGCUGUGAGGCCAACUGUGUAGUGUUUGCUGUGUGCUGUAGCAGUACUGUGCCACAAACGCUGCUGGCAUUAAUAAUAAGGAUUUGGCUUUUUCUCUGCUAGCUUUUUGAUUUUUCUCUUCUCCGCGUCGCCCUGCCUAUUGCAAUUUCUAGCCAACUGUUAAGGGUCACUUGCUCCAGGAAACGCUGUUGGUAUUUAGAGGCCACCCUUAAAUCUUUCCCGGCUUUGUAUGUGUACGCUAAGAACCCCUCGUGUCAUUUGAGGCUGGAUUUGUAUCACGCUUUCUCCAGCUGGAAUGUGAGAACACAAGCAGCAGGAGGAGCGGUGAGAUUGUCAAUCAAUUUAUUUCAAUCCGGAAAAAUUGUUUCUCCAUUUCGUACCCAAAGUGACCGGAGAAUGUUCUCUGCUACCUAAAAAAAACGUGACAAGACUACGUGACAAGCGGCUAAAAGCUACUACAACUUUUGUUGCAGUACUGCUACCCCCCAAAAAAAAAAGUUCCGGCCACAACUACAAUAAUAAAGGUGCAAAAACAUGGAGAGAAAUUUCUUUGUUUUUCUGAGCAGAGGCUGUGAAGUGUACCCCAAUCAAGUGGCUCAUAAGGUAUGGAAUGAUUUGAUUGUGCUAUAAGUACUGGAUGAUGGGGACUCUCCUUCAGCCAGUCCUCAACCCCAUUCAGGAAGUCUAUUCCGAGUGCAAUUUUGUAAAUAUUUAUUCAAAAACUAGAGCUUCGUUCAAGGGUGCUUAUUCUCAAAUCAAAGGAAUCUGGGCUGUGUCCCGACUUAAGAGAGGGAGCGCGAGAGCGCGAUCGUUCGUGAUCAACUAUCUAAAAUGAAAUCUAUUUAAUUUUAUACAGCAAAGCUAGACAGAAGCGAGAAUUUUGUUUUAAUCUUUUUCCCCCACCUUUCUUUCAGUACUGGAAAUGUAAGACGGAGGUCUUGUAUAAUUGGGUCAAGGUAUUUUAUUUGAUGAGGCUAAUCAGGUGAUGGGUGAACAUGGGCCAACUUUUAUGGGGAAAAAAAGAGAGGGAAAAAAAACAUUUUAGGGAGGUUGUUUUUUUUUUUUAACCAUCUGGAGGAAUGUUCUAACAGAUCGGCAUGUUAUGUCACCUCCCUGGCUGGCAGCUGUUCUCCAAGCAUUGUCAACAGCCAUCUCCUCAAUUCUUCUGCUAAUUACAUGCAAAUCAGGUGCUACCCUACAAAUUUGAGAGAUCAUUUUAUUCACGCUGUUCCUCUCUGUCCAUUCUCAAAUAGGAGCAGAAGAACUUUGUCAAUGCGCCAACGCGCUUCUAAACCUCAACGUAACUCAACCGUUGGAAGGAAAAGUGAUGGAGAUAGAUAAAAAGUCUUUCUUUUAAAAGCAUAAAACGGGGAAAGCUAUCCCAGUGAAUAUUCCGAAUACAGCCGUUAUCACUAGAAUUAGUAUUGCUGGAAUGCACAUCUGGGACAACCGAACAGGGAAUUUCUUUAGAAUACGUUAAGCUAGGGGAGAGAAUGGAAGCAUCCCCUGAGCCUGCAAAAGUUUCCAAAUAUUAGCAUAUUGUAAUUUUUUUUAUAUAUGAAGGUAUAGUAAACCAGUUAAGUCCUUGAAAGGAGAAUAAGCUUAUUUACUAUAUUAAACUAUACAUUUAGAUGGAAUUAUAUUAAGUGCAGGUUUUGGUAGGUCCUUGGUCCUGGUACAGGUAAUCCUCAAUUUAUGACCACAAUCGAGUCCAAAUUUUUUGUGGCUAAGCGAGACAGUUGUGAGUUUCGCACCCUUUUAGUGAGUUUUGCACCUUGCCACCGUUAUUAAGUGAAUCACUGCUGUUUUUAAGUGAGUCACACUGUUAUUAAAUGAAUCUGGCUUCCCGAUUGAGCUUUGCUUGUCCCAAAAGGUGAUCGCAUGAGCUUGGGACACUGCAACCAUCAUAAAUAAACCACCAGUUGCCAAACUUCCAAAUUUUGAUCAUGUGACCACCAGGGAUGCUGUAACUGCCGUGUGAAAAAGGGCCAUAAGUCACUUUUUGUCAACACCGUUGUAACGUCGAAAGGUCACGGAAUGAACUGUUGUAAAUUGAGGAUUCCCUGUAGAACCUUCUUGAGUUUUGACUCCAGAAAACAGGCAACUAUUCAUGUUGUGUUCUAGGCCCAGGACAGGUGAAAGGUCAACACCUCUUAGAAUAGGGGUGUCCCAACUUGGCAACUUUAAGACUUGUGGACUUGAACUCCCAGAAUUCCUCAGCCAGCAAAGCUUGACAGCCCUGCUGUAGACCAGUAGUGGGCUGCCCCCGGUUUGGUCUGGUUCUACAGAACCGGUAGUAAAACUAGUGGGAGGCUCCGCCCACCCGCCACGACAUCAUCACGGGUGAUCUGUGCAGAAGCGCGCGGGCUCCCAUUGCAAACCGGUAAGUAGAACCCAGCCCUGCUAUAGAUGUCUUCUCUAGAUGAACAGUGGCUUGAUCCAAGUUUGCCUAUGGUGCUAACCCAUUAUAGUAAAACUGUAGGAUGGCCUUCACCGAAGAGUGAGCUAUUAAAUAGGGGACCUCAAAACUACCACCAUUGAUGUAUCUCUUUCAUAGUUUUCAAACUGUGUGAUCAGAAAUCCCUCAAUGAGAUCAGUUCUGGAGAGCAAGUCUUUCUGAUGGGCGUCUGCCCUAAUCCCAUCACUUUUCCUACCGAGCACCAAGAAAUGGGAGAAUGAUCCCAUAUAAAAGACAAGUAUGCCUUAAAACAGGGCCUCCAAAUUUAGCAACUUUAAGACUUGUGGACUUCAACUCCCAGAAUUCCUCAGCUAGCCAGCUGGGGAAUUCUGAAAGUUGAAGUCCGUAAGUCUUAAAAGUUGCCAAGUUUGGAGAUCCCUGCCUUAAAACCACUCAAGUUUUUUGAGGCAUGUUUUGACUUCAGACGGGAUCAUUUGAAAAUAUAUAGCUAAUUUCAUAUAUGAGCUAUAUGUAUGUUGGAGACCCCUGCUCUAGAUAGUUUGCCAACAUAUUGGAGGUUUUUUGGUCUCAUAGGCACUGACUGUUGUGUGUAGGAACUUUCCCCAAAGACUUAGGAAUAUCAUUUUUUUUCUUCUGGUGUUAAUACAUUAUUUCCUUCUUUCUAAGGCAAUUUGGGAAAGUAGAAUUUUAAUUAAGAUUGCAAAACAGCGAAAAAGAGACAAUCCCUUCUCAAAUAUCAAGAUCCUAGCUUGAACUAAAAGUCUCUUGCUGUUGGCUAUGUUGGCCGAGGACGAUGGGAGUGGGUGCAAGGAAUGGAGCAUCUGCUCCUGCCCUAAAUGACUUCAGAAAUAUAUUUGGACAUUUCAGGAAUUGUCUGAAUCUUCAGCAAUUCCUGUGAUGCGUGGAACCCGCCUAAGGCUCGAGAUCUUUGGCUGCGUUCCAGGCAGAAAGCAUCAAGUCUUAGAUUAGAAGGAGGAAAUAUUUGCCCUGACUUCCGGGUUGCCAAGCAGCCUCACAGGUUGGCCAUUUGAUGAUCACAGCCUCUUCCUCGUCACUCUCCGAAUCCUUGCAUGUGGCUGAGAAAAUGUCAGCAUGGCAGUCACGCAACAACCCAAAAACUGGAUUCAAAAAAUGAUGCUUUUCCAGACUGUAUGUAGGAUGCACGCUGUAAAACCAUACCUGAAGCAACAACAACAAAAAAAUCCGUGCCGUGCUUACAGUGUGUAUUAAUAAACAAGAACCUGUGUUGAAACGCAA